UGCCACACGGAGUGAUCGGCCUUCGAGCUU
rnacentral:piRNA from 1 species